rnacentral:rRNA from 1 species
CCAGGCCCUAUGGGGCGCAGCAGGCGAGAAACCUUUGCAAUGUGCGCAAGCGCGACAAGGUUAAUCCGAGUGUUUCCUGUUAAAGGAAUCUUUUGUUAGUUCUAAAACCACUGAUGAAUAAGGGGUGGGCAAGUUCUGGUGUCAGCCGCCGCGGUAAAACCAGCACCUCAAGUGGUCAGGAGGAUUAUUGGGCCUAAAGCAUCCGUAGCCGGUUCUGUAAGUUUCCGGUUAAAUCCACUAGCUCAACUAAUGGGCUGCCGGAAAUACUGCAGAACUAGGGAGUGGGAGAGGUAGACGGUACUCGGGAGGAAGGGGUAAAAUCCUUUGAUCUCUUGAUGACCACCUGUGGCGAAGGCGGUCUACCAGAACACGUUCGACGGUGAGGGAUGAAAGCUGGGGGAGCAAACCGGAUUAGAUACCCGGGUAGUCCCAGCUGUAAACGAUGCAGACUCGGUGAUGCACUGGCUUAUGGCCAGUGCAGUGCCUCAGGGAAGCCGUUAAGUUUGCCGCCUGGGAAGUACGUACGCAAGUAUGAAACUUAAAGGAAUUGGCGGGGGAGCUUAACAGGGGGUGAAGCCUGCGGUUCAAUUGG